rnacentral:lncRNA from 1 species
UCAAGCAGUCAUGUUAGACUGAUACACUCUCUCAAGCACAGUCAUGUUAGACUGAUAUAAAUACUGUAAAUAAACCCAUAUUCCUCGUUCUCGAUGAGAA